rnacentral:rRNA from 1 species
UACAGAGGUGGCAAGCGUUGUUCGGAAUUACUGGGCGUAAAGGGCGCGUAGGCGGCCCGUCAAGUCCCGUGUGAAAGCCCCGGCUCAACCGGGGAACGGCGCGGGAAACUAGCAGGCUUGAGUUCGGGAGAGGGUAGCGGAAUUCCUGGUGUAGCGGUGGAAUGCGCAGAUAUCAGGAGGAACACCGAUGGCGAAGGCAGGUCACUGGGCCGCAACUGACGCUGAGGAGCGAAAGCAUGGGGAGCGAACAGG